CCUUUAUCCCGUGGUCAUUUGAGCCGGCCGGCUUGCAGCCACGUAAAACAAAUCGCUAAAAGGCCGUGGACAUGAUGCC
rnacentral:ncRNA from 2 species